AUGGACGCAUCGGCGACGACGCAGAAGCGCAAGUGCCUGGACAAGGAGGAGACGGCCGGCAUGUGCGCCAACGGUUGCGGCUUCUUCGGCGCCGCCGCCACCGGCAACAUGUGCUCCAAGUGCUACCUGGACCACGUAACCCACACCGCUAACGCCAUGCCCACCUCAACCGGGCCUCCGGAGAAGAAGGCCAGGAUGAUCGUCGCCGUCCCGUCCUCUGAUGUUGCGGCCGCCUCCUCCACCGCCGCCGCAGUUGAAUCCUCUGCGACGUCCGUGAAGCAGCCGCCGGUGGCGGCGAACCGGUGCGCGACGUGCCGCAAGAAGGUGGGCCUGCUGGGGUUCCGAUGCCGCUGCGAGGGCACCUUCUGCAGCGUGCACCGCUACUCGGAGAAGCACGACUGCGGAUUCGACUACAAGACCGCCGGCCAGGAGCAGAUCGCCAAGCACAACCCUGUCGUGGUUGCGGACAAGAUCACCCGAAGGAUCUGA
rnacentral:rRNA from 1 species